CACCAUUUGACUUCACUGUUAUUAAUGAAUGUGAGGACAACCCAGAGUUGCUGGAGGAAGCGGUACAAGAGGCACAGCGGGUGCGCCAGCUUCAUAGUGCUGACCUUGUACACUGGAUGAAGGGGAGCACUUCAGCAAGGAAACACCUUG